rnacentral:rRNA from 2 species
UGAAGUCAGGUGGGACUACCC